ACGAACGCUGGCGGCGUGCUUAACACAUGCAAGUCGCACGGAAAGGCCCUGCUUUUGUGGGGUGCUCGAGUGGCGAACGGGUGAGUAACACGUGAGUAACCUGCCCUUGACUUUGGGAUAACUUCAGGAAACUGGGGCUAAUACCGGAUAGGAGCUCCUGCUGCAUGGUGGGGGUUGGAAAGUUUCGGCGGUUGGGGAUGGACUCGCGGCUUAUCAGCUUGUUGGUGGGGUAGUGGCUUACCAAGGCUUUGACGGGUAGCCGGCCUGAGAGGGUGACCGGCCACAUUGGGACUGAGAUACGGCCCAGACUCCUACGGGAGGCAGCAGUGGGGAAUAUUGCACAAUGGGCGGAAGCCUGAUGCAGCAACGCCGCGUGCGGGAUGACGGCCUUCGGGUUGUAAACCGCUUUCGCCUGUGACGAAGUGUGAGUGACGGUAAUGGGUAAAGAAGCACCGGCUAACUACGUG
rnacentral:rRNA from 1 species